GACAGAGGGGGCAAACGUUGCUCGGAAUCACUGGGCGUAAAGGGCGUGUAGGCGGGAAGGUUAGUCAGAUGUGAAAGCCCUGGGCUCAACCCAGGAACUGCAUUUGAAACUCCCUUUCUUGAGUGUCGGAGAGGAAAGCGGAAUUCCUGGUGUAGAGGUGAAAUUCGUAGAUAUCAGGAGGAACACCGGUGGCGAAGGCGGCUUUCUGGACGACAACUGACGCUGAGACGCGAAAGCGUGGGGAGCAAACAGG
rnacentral:rRNA from 1 species